rnacentral:rRNA from 1 species
GUGGGGAAUUUUGGACAAUGGGCGAAAGCCUGAUCCAGCCAUUCCGCGUGCAGGAUGAAGGCCCUCGGGUUGUAAACUGCUUUUGUACGGAACGAAAAGCCUUCUUCUAAUACAGGAGGGUCAUGACGGUACCGUAAGAAUAAGCACCGGCUAACUACGUGCCAGCAGCCGCGGUAAUACGUAGGGUGCAAGCGUUAAUCGGAAUUACUGGGCGUAAAGCGUGCGCAGGCGGUUAUGUAAGACAGUUGUGAAAUCCCCGGGCUCAACCUGGGAACUGCAUCUGUGACUGCAUAGCUAGAGUACGGUAGAGGGGGAUGGAAUUCCGCGUGUAGCAGUGAAAUGCGUAGAUAUGCGGAGGAACACCGAUGGCGAAGGCAAUCCCCUGGACCUGUACUGACGCUCAUGCACGAAAGCGUGGGGAGCAAACAGGAUUAGAAACCCUAGUAGUCC